AGCCAGUUCACCUCCUGCUGCCUAAUGAAUGCAGAACUCUGAGCUCCUCCACCACCAUGUCUGUCUGCGUGCUACCAUGUUUCCUAAGAUGAUAAUGGACUAAACCUCUGAACCUGUAAGCCAGCCCCAAUUAAAUGUUCUCCUUUGUAAGGGUUGCCGGGAUCGUGGUAUCUGUUCACAGCAAUAGAAACUCCACCCUUAGCAGGCCAAGAAUUCCCAGUAUCUUCCCGUUCAAUUCUGUCCCGUGAACUUCUUCCGGUCCCAUUUGCCAUCUUUCAUCGAAGCCGUCGCCUGGAGAAUCUGCCUGGCCAGACACAUGAUCAUCCCACAGACCUUGAGGCCAUAUGCUCCUGUCCCAUCUCUGGUUUGUGGGGUGAUUUCUGAUCUGCAUUGUGACUCCUAAGCAACCAGCCAUGCACCCUGGAUCCCCUGCAGCCCCUGGGGUCUCUGAGCCUGGACCCCGAGAGCUGUGUGCCUUUGUGAGUGGGGCUUCGGCCCACAUGCUGCGGGCCCUGCAACCCAGGCGUAUUCGGCCCUCCAAACGCAGACCCAACCACCGGAGGUUUCUACACAACCAGAUCUGCAGGUAAGUGGUGCUGGGAAGAGGCACAGGGUGGACACCGGGAAAACCUCAGGCUGAUUUUAG
rnacentral:lncRNA from 1 species